rnacentral:rRNA from 1 species
UACGUAGGGGGCAAGCGUUGUCCGGAUUUAUUGGGCGUAAAGAGCUCGUAGGCGGUUUGGUAAGUCUGGUGUGAAAUCUCCACGCUCAACGUGGAGGGGCCACCCGAUACUGCCAUGACUGGAGUCCGGUAGAGGAGUGUGGAAUUCCCGGUGUAGCGGUGAAAUGCGUAGAUAUGCGGAGGAACACCGAUGGCGAAGGCAAUCCCCUGGGCCUGCACUGACGCUCAUGCACGAAAGCGUGGGGAGCAAACAGG